rnacentral:rRNA from 1 species
UACGGGGGGGUAAGCGUUGUUCGGAUUUACUGGGCGUAAAGGGCGCGUAGGCGGCAAUUCAAGUCAGCUGUGAAAUCUCCGGGCUUAACUCGGAACGGUCAGCUGAUACUGCUUUGCUAGAGUGCAGAAGGGCAAUCGGAAUUCUUGGUGUGAGCGGUGAAAUGCGUAGAGAUCAGGAAGAACACCGGUGGCGAAGGCGCUCUGCUAGGCCGUAACUGACACUGAGGGACGAAAGCUAGGGAGCGAAUGGG